UACGAAGGGGGCUAGCGUUGCUCGGAAUGACUGGGCGUAAAGGGCGCGUAGGCGGUUUGGACAGUCAGAUGUGAAAUUCCUGGGCUCAACCUGGGGGCUGCAUUUGAUACGUUCGGACUAGAGUGGGGAAGAGGGUCGUGGAAUUCCCAGUGUAGAGGCGAAAUUCGUAGAUAUUGGGAAGAACACCGGUGGCGAAGGCGGCGACCUGGUCCUUGACUGACGCUGAGGCGCGAAAGCGUGGGGAGCAAACAGG
rnacentral:rRNA from 1 species